rnacentral:rRNA from 1 species
AGAGUUUGAUCAUGGCUCAGAGCGAACGUUGGCGGCGCGCUUAACACAUGCAAGUCGUACGAGAAAAGGGGCAACCCUGAGUAGAGUGGCGCACGGGUGCGUAACACGUAGGCAAUCUUCCCUCAGGAGGGGGAUAACCAUCCGAAAGGAUGGCUAAUACCGCGUAAGACCACGGCUGCUUCGGCAGCAGCGGUCAAAGGGGGCCUCUCCAUGGAAGCUCUCACCUGAGGUCGAGCCUGCGGCCCAUCAGCUAGUUGGUAAGGUAACGGCUUACCAAGGCUAAGACGGGUAGCUGGUCUGAGAGGAUGAUCAGCCACACUGGCACUGAAACACGGGCCAGACUCCUACGGGAGGCAGCAGUGGGGAAUAUUGGACAAUGGGCGAAAGCCUGAUCCAGCGACGCCGCGUGGGUGAUGAAGGCCUUCGGGUUGUAAAGCCCUGCGGGCAGGGAAGAAAACGUUGCAGUCGAAUAGGCUGCGACCUUGACGGUACCUGCUCAGAAAGCACCGGCUAACUCUGUGCCAGCAGCCGCGGUAAGACAGAGGGUGCAAACGUUGCUCGGAAUUACUGGGCGUAAAGCGCGUGUAGGCGGAUUGGUGUGUCGGAUGUGAAAUCCCCAGGCUCAACCUGGGAACUGCAUUCGAAACUGCCAGUCUUGAGUGGUGGAGAGGGAAGUGGAAUUCCUGGUGUAGAGGUGAAAUUCGUAGAUAUCAGGAGGAACACCAGUGGCGAAGGCGGCUUCCUGGACACCAACUGACGCUGAGACGCGAAAGCGUGGGGAGCAAACAGGAUUAGAUACCCUAGUAGUCC